ensembl:lncRNA
GAGAAGGAAAUGGCAACCCACUCCAGUGUUCUUGCCUGGAGAAUCCCAGGGAUGGGGGAGCCUGGUGGGCUGCCGUCUUUGGGGUCACAGAGUCGGACGCGACUGAAGCAACUUAGCAGCAGCGGCAGCAUCAAUUGGGAUGUGGCUGAGGAGCCCUUUUCCACCUUGUCGUCACACUACGGGCAACAUGAAAAACAGGAGCUUCCCUCUUGCUGUUGAAGGAAAGAAGUUGGCGAGGAAAGCACACUAGUUCUUAACUGCUCCAGCCCAGAAGGGUACAGAUGAAAUAUUACUUCACAACCCUCUGGUACUUCCUUCCUUUCAGCCUCAUUACAACCAGCUCACCUUGAUGCUCGUUUCUGUCUGCAACUCCUGGAUUCAAUCACUUCAAAAAAGGAGAGGAGAAGCUACACUACACCAGGAUGAGAAGAUGACGACAUCAGAGGUAGACAGCUUCCCCAAGAUGCUGGACCUGAUUCGUAUGAUCAUUUAUGUUUUCUUGACUUCUUAGACCUUUGCAUAUAAAUCAAAUGCUUUUCUAUUAUAAGCCUGAUCCUAUGCUAGUUUUAAAAAUCAAUUCAAUUGUUGGGUUUGUGGCCAAUUACUUGUGUCUAGUUCUGGGUUACCUUGGUAAAUUUCUC